GCCUUCUUAGCUCAGUGGUAGAGCGUUGCACUUGUAUUCUGCUUUCGUCCCAAGGCUUACACAAAUGCAAAGGUCAGUCGUUCAAUCCGGCUAGGAGGCA